CCAAGGAGUGUAUUGCUAUGGCAAGUCAUUAAUAUUGUUAAUAUUAAAGGCGUAAUGAAAAUAAUUUUAUCUCAGAUAAUUAUUUUUUAUAAUAAUUCGCAUGAGAGACGUGGAUAUAAGAUUUAUCUUUUUCCGCAGUUAUAGCCAUAGUAGUGCGACCCGAAAGAUGGUGAACUAUGCUAGCGCAGGGUAAAGUCAGAAGAAAUUCUGAUGGAAGCUCGAAGCGGUCCUGACGUGCAAAUCGGUCGUCUGACGUUAGUAUAGGGGCGAAAGACUAAUCGAACC
rnacentral:rRNA from 1 species